GUCCACGCCGUAAACGAUGGGAACCUGACGUCGGUUUGCUCUGCGAAUCGGUGUCGUAGCUAACGCGCUAAGUUCCCCGCCUGGGGAGUACGGCCGCAAGGUUGAAACUCAAAGGAAUUGACGGGGGCCCGCACAAGCGGUGGAGUAUGUGGUUUAAUUCGAUGCAACGCGAAGAACCUUACCUGGGCUUGACAUGCUCGGAAUCCUGCAGAGAUGCGGGAGUGCCCGCAAGGGAACCGAGACACAGGUGCUGCAUGGCUGUCGU
rnacentral:rRNA from 1 species